rnacentral:rRNA from 1 species
CGGGACGGGUGAGUAAUGUCUGGGAAACUGCCUGAUGGGAGGGGGUAACUACUGGAAACGGUAGCUAAUACCGCAUAACGUCGCAGACCAAAGAGGGGGACCUUCGGGCCUCUUGCCAUCGGAUGUGCCCAGAUGGGAUUAGCUAGUAGGUGGGGUAACGGCUCACCUAGGCGACGAUCCCUAGCUGGUCUGAGAGGAUGACCAGCCACACUGGAACUGAGACACGGUCCAG